UCAGGGUGAAGAUAAUCGAGCAUCUGGAGGGUGGUGGCAGGUGCCAGAGGUACAGGUGAAAGCAGGUCCCCCGCAUAUGGCGGUGGCAGGUUAAGUACCAGUCUGGUGGUGGCCGCUGGCGAGUGAGGGUGUGUUCUCUGGGAGAACCUGUGAUGACAGACUGUACACAUAUGGACGCUGCGUCCGUGGUCACGGUUCUCCUUGGCGUACUUAACAAUAAUAUGUGCUGAAACUUAUCUUUGAAAUUAUCGACGAGCACAAAGGGAAAUUGGCAGUAUUGUAGAGCGUGUGUAGGGUUGAAAAAAAUGAAAUUUAGAGACAUUAGCACUGGGAAAAUUGUUGCAGUUAUUUGACACUAUUAAUUGUAAUAAAUUAAUUUUCGCUUAUAAUCAAGUGAUUUAUUGCUAAAAGAAAACAAAGGGGAAGCUGAACAUAAUGACUGAAACACAAAUAUCAGCGAUGGAUUUUGAAGGCAUAAACGAGUCUCUUGGUGGGUUUGGGAGGUACCAGAAGCUUGUGUUCUUCCUGGCGUGUUGGGGCUCCUUCAUGCCCGCCAUGGUCGUGGUGGCCAUGACCUUCCUCGGUAACGUCCUCAACUACAGCAGAGAUUUAUAGUUACUGACGCAAGAAAUGAAGCAGCUGUGGAGUUGUGUGUCGCCACAGGAAGACGCUGCGACGGAUGGUGUUCCCGUGAAAACAAUAGGUUGAGUUGUCUCCAAGGUUGCGGACAUAAGGAAGACGUUGAAGCGUUCAUUGGUACCUUCUGUGAAAACUUGCAACAUAUUCUCUGCACUGGAAGACUAGCCAGCUGCUUGCCCAGCAGUGGAGAUGACUGAAACAUGGAUGCAGGAGGUCGGACAACACAGUAACUCAAGAAGAAAGUUUUCGUGAGGACUUCCAAUUCAUUCGCUGCUUUGGAGGGUGUGUGGUGUUGGUGGUGGAGGCUGCGGUGGCAGGAAAGGUGUGACGAUAGAAGGAGCGCCGGUGAAAUGAGUAUAGAAAGUCAUCUUUGUCGAAAAGAAUUCGAUCUUGUGUGGAUUCCUCUUUGUCUUGGUUUCUUGUAUCUGAGUUUGUGUCAGUGUCUGUGUGUGUGAUUACAACUGCUUCAAGCUUCAUUUAUAUUUUUGUGAUACUGACGACCCUUUCUCAUCCCUACCCCUGCCACUUAUUCGUGCCCCCCUCACUCAUGCCACAUAUCCCAGUCCCUCACCCUAGCUCUUCAGCCCUGCCUCUCACCCCCAGAAGUGGAGAGCAGAACGGAAACCGAAGGUUUUUUUGUGAGCUUGAGGGGGAUGGGCGGGUAAAUACACUGGUCUCGACAGGAACCAUUAUGUGUGAUUUUAAAUCUGGAUGGAUGAAUCCGGAUUUACCGUCUCUGGGCAACACGCGCCAGAACCCAUGUUUAUGUGGCCUUCUGGUUAGGAACGUCGCAGACGACCCUCCUCCAGCACCCCAGGAAGGACAGAAAACCUAAUGUUUGUGGAUGGUUCGUUCCACCUGACAUUGUCGUCCUCGUUCCCCACCUCCACCCUCUCCACUUGCACAUGUUUGGGAGGUAUAUUGAGCUCAACCUCUCCUGAAGGGGUAUCACUUCAUAAUUUGUACUGUUAUCUACACCUUAUCCAUGGUUAGAUUAAGUUAGAGUAGAUUAGAUUAGGUUAGGGUACGUUAGAUUAGGUAAGGUUGGGCUAGGUUUCGUUACAUUAAUCAUUAAUCCAAGGUGAAAAUCAGUAGGAGCCAUGAGAGGAUUCGAACCUAUGCAUUGGGUACUCCCAAGCAUGCACCUUAAACCACUGAACCAUGACAUGCUAAAAGCAAAGUACUUACUGGGGAUCAAGUGAAUCCUUUAAAGGUCCUGAGGUUUCCUCUAUUGAGUUGAGUCCCAAGUUGUAUUUUUUUCAGCAUGUAGUGGUACAGUGGUUUAAGGCAUGUGUUUGGGAGUACGAAGUGUGCAGGUUCGAAUCUCCAUCAUGGCUGCUAAUGAUUUUCUCAUUGAUACAUCACUUUAAUGUUAUUUUUUUGUACAUUUGAAGAGAAGAUUUGGGGGUUAGGACUCCUAUACCACAGCCAGAGUGUAUAUGUGGUUAAUGUGUGAAACCUUAACUUGGCUUCAGUGGAAGCCUCAGAACCCCUGGAGAAUUUUGCUGCAUCCCAGUUUGUAUUGCUUUUAACAUGUCAUGGAUCAGUGGUUUAAGGAGUGGCCUUAGGGUUUGAAUGGUGUGCAGAUUCUAAUUCUACUCAUAGCUCAGACUAAUUUUCUCAUUGAUACAUCAUGUUAGUGUGAUUUCUUUGUGCAUUGCAUUAAAACAGAACCUUAUUCUCAAAUGAGAAUUAUGAAAUUCGAAAACUGUUUGGGUGUCUCCUAGAAUUUCAUUUUAAAGCAAACCUAGGCUUAACACAUUUCAAUAAAACAAGCAAAACCAAUAAUUUGUUUAUAUUUUAAACCAUAUAUAGUUUGAUAUAAAGAUAUAACUUGAGAAUGAAAGAGCUCGAGUGCAUGGGGGAAUUGCGUAAAAUCCUGGUUUGUGUCUUAGAGAGGCUGCAGGGGUCCAAGUAAGGGCAGUAGAACUUCCGGUUGCAAUUCAUUUACCAUGUCGUAGCGCAGUCGAUUAAAGCAGCAUCUGGGAUGCUCUCGGGCGUAGGUUCGAACCCUCGUCACAGUCCUUGUGGAUUUGUUCAUUUGAUGCAUCACGCUAUUGUGAUUUCUGUGUGUAGUGAGAAUAUUCUCUAGGACAAUAGUUCACUUACCAAGUUACAAGUACACUAUUACUGGAACCGUAAUGUGGUUUCAGACCAACACAAAUAUCUAGAUAACUACCCAGGUGAGGAGAGUGGGUCUGGUGUCUGGCUGUAAUCACUGUACCCUGAGGCUGGGAUAAAUUGGCUGAUUGGGCGACUCUUUUUGAUGAGCGUCGGUCCCUCCGCCAUCUGGGGAGUGUCGUUACCUGUCAGGUGCACCUUUGUGUGUGUGUACUCACCUAGUUGUGUUUGUGGGGGUUGAGCGCUGCUCUUUCGGCCCGCCUCUCA